CAAUAGCGUAUAUUAAAGUUGUUGCAGUUAAAAAGCUCGUAGUUGGAUUUCGGGGCAGCCUGGCUGGUCCGCCGCAAGGCGAGUACUGGUCAGCCGCCCUUCCUCUCGAAAGCCCCGACUGCUCUUCGUUGCAGUGGUCGGGUAGUUCGGGACGUUUACUUUGAAAAAAUUAGAGUGUUCAAGGCAGGCCUACGCCUGAAUACAUUAGCAUGGAAUAAUGGAAGAGGACCUCGGUCCUAUUUUGUUGGUUUCCAGGGCCGAAGUAAUGAUUAAGAGGGACAGUCGGGGGCAUUCGUAUUUCAUUGUCAGAGGUGAAAUUCUUGGAUUUAUGAAAGACGAACUACUGCGAAAGCAUUUGCCAAGGAUGUUUUCAUUAA
rnacentral:rRNA from 1 species